AGUUGAGAUUUAAUUUGUUUUUUGUUAGCUGCAGAAGAGGUCUGGACUGAGAGGUGACUUGGGUGGAGGGCUUGGCCACAGUAACAGCAAACCAUUGAGGAACCAGGAACAAUAAGGAGGGCUGGAGUGGAAGAGUCUCUGCAGCCUGACAUAAGGUGUACCCUGGGGAGUGAGUGCAUGCUGACUGCUAUGGUUGGAAUGAAGAGUUCUCUACCCAUCAAUAUGACUGUGACUCCCACUAUAUUAGGAGAGGGAUGCAAGGCCCAAAAUUCAGACCCAGAAUCAUCUCUUCUGCAGACUAUACUUUAUCUCUUGUGGUGUUUUCCCUUAGCCUAAAGAGGAGUCAGGAAAUCCUUGUGUUUCUUGAGGAGCAAUCAGAAUCUGACAGGUAUUUGGAAGGAGGUGACUUCUAACAUACUAGUUAUGUUCUACAAUCCUUUUUUGGUUUAAAUGAGAAUAAGACCUCAAACUUUGUGGGAUAGUUCCCCACCUUCAGUAUAUGUGGUAUAUAUUUAAAAAACUACUGUCAGAGUGCUUCUUGAGCCUUCCAUUGUAAUGUCCCAUCGCUCAGGAAUCAGCUUGGAGUAUAGUGCUGUGGAGUUCGAACAGAUGAAAAUCAUUGUAUAAAUGUAAAAUACUGAUGGUUUUUUUUCACUGCUUCUCAAAUAAGUGAUAAUUAGGAAUCUUGGAGUUUGAUUAAAAGAUAAAUUAACACAAACAUUUUACCAGUAUCAAACGAUGAGAUUUCCUAUUCUUAAAUAAAGUGUAGUAACGCAACA
ensembl:lncRNA